ensembl:lncRNA
UUUUAUAAUAGAAUGUAGUUAGAUUGCUUAGGGUAGACUAGAGCAGUGUUUCCCAACUCCAGUCCUUCAGUACCCCCAACAGUGUUUCCCAACUCCAGUCCUUCAUACCCCCAACAGUGUUUCCCAACUCCAGUCCUUCAGUACCCCCAACAGUGUUUCCCAUCUCCAGUCCUUCAGUCCCCCAACAGUGUUUCCCAACUCCAGUCCUUCAGUACCCCCAACAGUGUUUCCCAACUCCAGUCCUCCAGUACCCCCAACAGUGUUUCCCAACUCCAGUCCUCCACUACCCCCAACAGUGUUUCCCAACUCCAGUCCUCCACUACCCCCAACAGUGUUUCCCAACUCCAGUCCUCCACUACCCCCAACAGUGUUUCCCAACUCCAGUCCUCCAGUACCCCCAACAGUGUUUCCCAACUCCAGUCCUCCACUACCCCCAACAGUGUUUCCCAACUCCAGUCCUCCAGUACCCCUAACAGUGUUUCCCAACUCCAGUCCUCCAGUACCCCUAACAGUGUUUCCCAACUCCAGUCCUUCAGUACCCCCAACAGUGUUUCCCAACUCCAGUCCUUCAGUACCCCCAACAGUGUUUCCCAACUCAGUUCCUUCAGUACCCCCAACAGUGUUUCCCAACUCCAGUCCUCCAAACAGUGUUUCCCAACUCCAGUCCUCCACUACCCCCAACAGUGUUUCCCAACUCAGUGUUUCCCAACUCCAGUCCUCCACUACCCUUAACAGUGUUUCCCAACUCCAGUCCUCCACUACCCCUAACAGUGUUUCCCAACUCCAGUCCUCCAGUACCCUUAACAGUGUUUCCCAACUCAGUGUUUCCCAACUCCAGUCCUCCACUUCCCCUAACAGUGUUUCCCAACUCAGUGUUUCCCAACUCCAGUCCUCCACUACCCCUAACAGUGUUUCCCAACUCCAGUCCUCCACUACCCCUAACAGUGUUUCCCAACUCCAGUCCUCCACUACCCCCAACAGUGUUUCCCAACUCCAGUCCUCCACUACCCCCAACAGUGUUUCCCCAACUCCAGUCCUCCACUACCCCUAACAGUGUUUCCCAACUCAGUGUUUCCCAACUCCAGUCCUCCACUACCCUUAACAGUGUUUCCCAACUCAGUGUUUCCCAACUCCAGUCCUCCACUACCCUUAACAGUGUUUCCCAACUCAGUGUUUCCCAACUCAGUGUUUCCCAACUCCAUGUUUCCCAACUCCAGUCCUCCACUACCCCCAACAGUGUUUCCCAACUCCAGUCCUCCACU